rnacentral:rRNA from 1 species
UAGGGAAUCUUCGGCAAUGGGGGGAACCCUGACCGAGCAACGCCGCGUGAGUGAAGAAGGUUUUCGGAUCGUAAAGCUCUGUUGUUAAGGAAGAACGAGUGUGAGAAUGGAAAGUUCAUGCUGUGACGGUACUUAACCAGAAAGGGACGGCUAACUACGUGCCAGCAGCCGCGGUAAUACGUAGGUCCCGAGCGUUGUCCGGAUUUAUUGGGCGUAAAGCGAGCGCAGGCGGUUAGAAAAGUCUGAAGUGAAAGGCAGUGGCUCAACCAUUGUAAGCUUUGGAAACUGUUUAACUUGAAUGCAGAAGGGGAGGGUGGAAUUCCAUGUGUAGCGGUGAAAUGCGUAGAUAUAUGGAGGAACACCGGUGGCGAAAGCGGCUCUCUGGGCUGUAACUGACGCUGAGGCUCGAAAGCGUGGGGAGCGAACAGG